rnacentral:rRNA from 1 species
CCCUAUGGGGUGCAGCAGGUGCGAAAAUUUUCCAAUGCGCGCAAGCGUGAGAAAGGGAUCUAGAGUGUUUCUCUUUUUGAGGAACUUUUGUCUUGUGUAAAAAGCAAGACGAAUAAGGGCUGGGUAAGACUGGUGCCAGCCGCCGCGGUAAUACCAGCGGCCCAAGUGGGAGUCAAUUUUAUUGGGUCUAAAACAUUCGUAGCCGGUUUUGUAAGUCUUAUGUAAAAUCAUUGCUCUUAAGGCAAUGGCUGCAUAAGAUACUGCAGGACUAGGGACUGGGAGACGUGAUGAGUACAACUAAGGUAGCGGUAAAAUGUUUUAAUCUUAGUUGGACUAACAACAGCGAAGGCACGUCACGAGAACAGAUCUGACGGUGAGGAAUGAAGGCCAGGGGCGCAAAACGGAUUAGAUACCCGUGUAGUCCUGGCUGUAAACCCUGCUCACUAAACAUUGUGAUCUCUUCGGGAGAUUGCAGUGCUGAAGCGAAGGCGAGAGUGAGCUACCUGGGGAGUAUAGUCGCAAGACCGAAACUUAAAGGAAUUGGCGGGGGAGCACCACAACGAGUGACGCGUGCGGUUCAAUUAGAUUCUACCCCGUGAACCUCACCAGGAGCGACAGCAGAAUGAAGGUCAGUCUGAAGGGCUUACCUGACACGCUGAGAGGUGGUGCAUGGCC